CAAGGAAUUUUCCGCAAUGGGCGAAAGCCUGACGGAGCAACGCCGCGUGGGGGAAGAAGGCCUUCGGGUUGUAAACCCCUUUUGCGAGGGAAGAAGAUCUGACGGUACCUCGCGAAUAAGCCACGGCUAACUACGUGCCAGCAGCCGCGGUAAUACGUAGGUGGCAAGCGUUGUCCGGAUUUACUGGGCGUAAAGCGCGCGCAGGCGGAUUGGUCAGUCCGAGGUGAAAUCUCACGGCUCAACUGUGAGAGGUCCUUGGAUACUGCCAGUCUUGAGGGGCUCAGAGGAGAGUGGAAUUCCGGGUGUAGUGGUGGAAUGCGUAGAUAUCCGGAGGAACACCAGUGGCGAAAGCGACUCUCUGGGGGCAACCUGACGCUGAGGCGCGAAAGCGUGGGGAGCGAACCG
rnacentral:rRNA from 1 species